AUUGAACGCUGGCGGCAUGCCUUACACAUGCAAGUCGAACGGUAACGCGGGGCAACCUGGCGACGAGUGGCGAACGGGUGAGUAAUGCAUCGGAACGUGCCCAGUAGUGGGGGAUAGCCCGGCGAAAGCUGGAUUAAUACCGCAUACGACCUACGGGUGAAAGCGGGGGACCGUAAGGCCUCGCGCUAUUGGAGCGGCCGAUGUCAGAUUAGGUUGUUGGUGGGGUAAAAGCCUACCAAGCCGACGAUCUGUAGCUGGUCUGAGAGGACGACCAGCCACACUGGGACUGAGACACGGCCCAGACUCCUACGGGAGGCAGCAGUGGGGAAUUUUGGACAAUGGGGGCAACCCUGAUCCAGCCAUGCCGCGUGCGGGAAGAAGGCCUUCGGGUUGUAAGCCGCUUUUGUCAGGGAAGAAACGCUCUGGGCUAAUACCCCGGGGUAAUGACGGUACCUGAAGAAUAAGCACCGGCUAACUACGUGCCAGCCGCCGCCGUAAAAC
rnacentral:rRNA from 1 species